AUUGUGUUGUCAACAGAUGUGGGCUUUUGGCGACUCGUUGUCUAAAUCUAUUUUCAGCUACAGCUAUUUUCUUCGAAAGUUACAAAUGAACACAUAGUUUAAUUCGAGUUAUUUCAUUUGUAAUUUGUCUGUGAUGUGUUUUAUUCCUUGUACAUGUUGGAUAACCUUAGUGUUUCUCAUCAACUGACAGAAGGAAACGUAGCCUACCGUUGACUAUUUUGUUCAAAAUGUGCCAUCGAAAUGACACAGGAUUCAUCAUAAUUAUCUGCUGUAAGAAUUGGACAGCCCAUCACGGACCAAUCUCUCAUUCCAUCUUCUAGAGAACCUUGGCGAACUGUUUGGUGGUUUCAUGUGUUUGAAACUAUAGGUUUCUAAAUUUGCAUGACAGACUUUAAGAAAAGUCAUGUUGAAGAAAAAGGACUGACUGACAAUCAACAAGGUACACUACCUAAGUUGUUUGGUAACCUGUUGGCUGCUUCCCUUGAAUCUCCCUUUUUACUUCCUUAAGCUUGAUUUGAGGUAUUGCUCACUGUUGCUCAAAUAUUGUUGGAAAUUAUUGUCAAACUAAUAAAUGUUCACUCUGU